AACGCUAGCUACAGGCUUAACACAUGCAAGUCGAGGGGCAGCACAGUGUAGCAAUACACGGGUGGCGACCGGCGCACGGGUGCGUAACGCGUAUCCAACCUUCCCGUUACUCUUGGAUAGCCUUCCGAAAGGGAGAUUAAUACAAGAUGGUAUUCAAAUUCCGCAUGUUAUUUGAAUUAAAGAUUUAUCGGUAACGGAUGGGGAUGCGUGACAUUAGAUAGUAGGCGGGGUAACGGCCCACCUAGUCUACGAUGUCUAGGGGUUCUGAGAGGAAGGUCCCCCACACUGGAACUGAGACACGGUCCAGACUCCUACGGGAGGCAGCAGUGAGGAAUAUUGGUCAAUGGUCGGAAGACUGAACCAGCCAAGUAGCGUGAAGGAUGAAGGUUCUAUGGAUUGUAAACUUCUUUUAUACGGGAAUAAAACACCUUACGUGUAGGGUCUUGUAUGUACCGUAUGAAUAAGCAUCGGCUAACUCCGUGCCAGCAGCCGCGGUAAUACGGAGGAUGCGAGCGUUAUCCGGAUUUAUUGGGUUUAAAGGGAGCGUAGACGGGAUGUUAAGUCAGUUGUGAAAGGCUGCGGCUCAACCGCAACACUGCAGUUGAUACUGGCGUCCUUGAGUGCGGUUGAGGUAUGUGGAAUUCGUGGUGUAGCGGUGAAAUGCUUAGAUAUCACGAAGAACUCCGAUUG
rnacentral:rRNA from 1 species